UGUGCACAGCUGGUCAGAGCUUCCAGAAGGAAUAUCUUCCGAGGACUAAGGUGAUCAGGUUAAGAGGGUUCAACAUCCCACGGCCCUCACCUUCCUCCCUCCCACAUUCCAGGCAUGGAGAUAUCUGGUUUCAGAGUCAGCCCCAAAUCUCCUGCCUAUAAUUACUUUAACUGGGGUCUCUAAGGUUCCCACUUGAGGGCUAAAAUGUAGUUGGGAAAGAGGGCCUACUGGGGAGGUCUCACAGGAGGCAGUGCCCUGGGAAAUGCCAAGUCCAGACUCAGUGCCAAGCAGUAACCAUCUGCACUCGGGGACAGCGAGGAGCUGACCAUGGCCUCUGAUGACCAGCAGGUAUUAGAUGGAAGUGAAUGAGAGAGAGAGAGAGAGAGAGUAUGUGUGUGUGUGUGUAUGUGUGUGUUCGAACACAUAUGAUUGCCAGUAUGGAGAAUGAAAGAUUAAUAAUGCUUUCUGGAGAGUUUGAUGCAAAAGUGGGGGAAACGGAGAAAAGGCGCUAAGGCUAAAUCCAUCUGCAUUUGCUAUAUUUCAUUAGCUAAAGUCAGGUCAGGGCAGGGCCAAGGCCUCCAAUUGGCAAAGGACAGUGUUAUGGCUUUAAAAAGCUGAAACCCCAACCUCUAAGUAGAUCACAAUGUUUUCUGAGCUUUGCAGUAAUUUUCUAUGGAAACUAAAACCUCUAAAACAUACAAGCUGGCCCAAAUGAGAACACAAGCAAAAGAUGUGGAAGACAGCAAAACCUGAGCACUGGUUUGAACCAGGCACUGACAUUUGAAAUGCUUUAAGCCUUUUCACAUUCCUUCUUUAUUCCCUCCAAAAAAAAAAGUCUUGAGUUUAAUUUAGGUCUAUUUUGGCUGAGAUUAGCAUACCUCUGACUCACAGGAUUUAAUAAAUUAUAGUAUUAUUGAAUACAUAGGACAUCCCUCUACCCCAGCUUACUCUUAUCUUUUUAAUUUAAAAUAGUAUUCUGCUACCAAGAAGGAUGCAACUGCUAGUUUUAGAUGUAAAUAGUGUUAUUUACUGGACUUUGUGAUAUUAUUUUCUUAACUACACUUUACUAUGGCCCUGUUGAAAACAGACUAUCAAGUUUUUUGUCUCUGUUCUGUCAUCUCUCUUAAGCCAGGCACCUUUAGAGUGUUUGCAAUUUGUUCGAAGUGGUUGAGGAUCUCAGGCCCUGCUCACGUGAGGUGGAGUGCAGGGGAGCUACCGGUUUCCCUGCUGACCUGCUGAAUGCUACCUUCCCCUCGAGUUGAAUACACCUUAAGGAAAAUGAUAACACGAGGGACGUGUAACUUGUUUUGAAGCAUUAAAAACCAGCAGCUCUUCACUAUGUUCCAUAUUUUAACCAAACUACUGUAGACUACUAAACAUAGCCAAGCCAGAACAUUCCUUCUGGAUUAAGCCUAGGCCACUUGAGGGGCAGCCAGGGGUGAUGGUGUCAGGUGAGAAUCCUGUGUCUUGAAGGAGUGGCCUUUACAGGAAGAGUGCCCAUGUUUUCACCUGCAGCGUUGCCACCAGAGUGUGCAAUACCUCCUGCACACAGGCUCAGGGUAAACUGCUCCAAAGCUGGGUUUUGUGUUGCAUACAAAGUCAAUAAAAUAGUUGCUAAUCCUGAAUGGCAGCCAGUGAUGUGAAGGUACUAUUAAAGUGAACAAAAACUAG
rnacentral:lncRNA from 1 species